ACGAACGCUGGCGGCAUGCCUCACACAUGCAAGUCGAACGAGACCUUCGGGUCUAGUGGCGCACGGGUGCGUAACGCGUGGGAACCUGCCCUUAGGUUCGGAAUAACUCCCCGAAAGGGGUGCUAAUACCGGAUAAUGUCUUCGGACCAAAGAUUUAUCGCCUUUGGAUGGGCCCGCGUUGGAUUAGCUAGUUGGUAGGGUAAAAGCCUACCAAGGCGACGAUCCAUAGCUGGUCUGAGAGGAUGAUCAGCCACACUGGGACUGAGACACGGCCCAGACUCCUACGGGAGGCAGCAGUGGGGAAUAUUGGACAAGGGGCGAAAGCCUGAUCCAGCAAUGCCGCGUGAGUGAUGAAGGCCUUAGGGUUGUAAAGCUCUUUUACCCGGGAUGAUAAUGACAGUACCGGGAGAAUAAGCGCCGGCUAACUCCGUG
rnacentral:rRNA from 1 species